rnacentral:rRNA from 1 species
AUGAACGCUAGCUACAGGCUUAACACAUGCAAGUCGAGGGGCAGCAUGGUCUUAGCUUGCUAAGGCCGAUGGCGACCGGCGCACGGGUGAGUAACACGUAUCCAACCUGCCGUCUACUCUUGGACAGCCUUCUGAAAGGAAGAUUAAUACAAGAUGGCAUCAUGAGUCCGCAUGUUCACAUGAUUAAAGGUAUUCCGGUAGACGAUGGGGAUGCGUUCCAUUAGAUAGUAGGCGGGGUAACGGCCCACCUAGUCUUCGAUGGAUAGGGGUUCUGAGAGGAAGGUCCCCCACAUUGGAACUGAGACACGGUCCAAACUCCUACGGGAGGCAGCAGUGAGGAAUAUUGGUCAAUGGGCGAGAGCCUGAACCAGCCAAGUAGCGUGAAGGAUGACUGCCCUAUGGGUUGUAAACUUCUUUUAUAAAGGAAUAAAGUCGGGUAUGGAUACCCGUUUGCAUGUACUUUAUGAAUAAGGAUCGGCUAACUCCGUGCCAGCAGCCGCGGUAAUACGGAGGAUCCGAGCGUUAUCCGGAUUUAUUGGGUUUAAAGGGAGCGUAGAUGGAUGUUUAAGUCAGUUGUGAAAGUUUGCGGCUCAACCGUAAAAUUGCAGUUGAUACUGGAUAUCUUGAGUGCAGUUGAGGCAGGCGGAAUUCGUGGUGUAGCGGUGAAAUGCUUAGAUAUCACGAAGAACUCCGAUUGCGAAGGCAGCCUGCUAAGCUGCAACUGACAUUGAGGCUCGAAAGUGUGGGUAUCAAACAGGAUUAGAUACCCUGGUAGUCCACACGGUAAACGAUGAAUACUCGCUGUUUGCGAUAUACAGUAAGCGGCCAAGCGAAAGCGUUAAGUAUUCCACCUGGGGAGUACGCCGGCAACGGUGAAACUCAAAGGAAUUGACGGGGGCCCGCACAAGCGGAGGAACAUGUGGUUUAAUUCGAUGAUACGCGAGGAACCUUACCCGGGCUUAAAUUGCAGAUGAAUUACGGUGAAAGCCGUAAGCCGCAAGGCAUCUGUGAAGGUGCUGCAUGGUUGUCGUCAGCUCGUGCCGUGAGGUGUCGGCUUAAGUGCCAUAACGAGCGCAACCCUUGUUGUCAGUUACUAACAGGUUCCGCUGAGGACUCUGACAAGACUGCCAUCGUAAGAUGUGAGGAAGGUGGGGAUGACGUCAAAUCAGCACGGCCCUUACGUCCGGGGCUACACACGUGUUACAAUGGGGGGUACAGAGGGCCGCUACCACGCGAGUGGAUGCCAAUCCCCAAAACCUCUCUCAGUUCGGACUGGAGUCUGCAACCCGACUCCACGAAGCUGGAUUCGCUAGUAAUCGCGCAUCAGCCACGGCGCGGUGAAUACGUUCCCGGGCCUUGUACACACCGCCCGUCAAGCCAUGGGAGCCGGGGGUACCUGAAGUGCGUAACCGCGAGGAGCGCCCUAGGGUAAAACUGGUGACUGGGGCU